CCUGGGCGCGGUGGCACGCGCCAGUAGUCCCAGCUACUGGGGAGGCUGAGGCAGGAGGAUCGCUUGAGCCCAGGAGUUCUGGGCUGUAGUGCGCUAUGCCGAUCGAGUGUCCGCACUAAGUUCGGUAUCAAUAUGGUGACCUCCCAGGAGCGGGGGACCACCAGAUUGCCUAAGGAGGGGUGAACCGGCCCAGGUCGGAAACGGAGCAGGUCAAAAUUCACAAAUAAUCACUUGUAUGUGGUGUGGGAUGCACCUUACCAGGGAAUGGGAUGCUGUACGUACCUAUACGUACAGUUAGUGGUUUGCUUUCCCAAU
rnacentral:SRP_RNA from 1 species